rnacentral:lncRNA from 1 species
AACUCUGUGGGAGUUUAUUUUUGUGUAAAUACAUCAUCAAACAGCCCCUAAUUCAGUCCCAAGCUACAGUAUAUAAGAUGAGCCGCUGCCACACUUUGACAAGUUCAUCAGCUGGUAACAAACCUGCUCACAGCUCAGAUCUAGACUCAGAUUUGGUGCCUUUCAGCGUCUCAACAUGUGUUCGAGUCUCUCCACCAGCCGCCUGAUUCUUCUGAUCUCCCUGAGUGUGAUGAUGCUCAUCUUUGUAUCAGGGGCUGACCACGUGGGACAAACCUGCUAUAAAACAUAUUCUAACAGUGGUGUAAUAAACACGUCUACACCUAAAUGGGCAAAAAACAUCAUCAGCUGCAUUGAACAAAACAGACAUGGCUGCCUACAUGGAUAUGUGGUUAAAACACGUGUAGGAAGAACAUUUCUCCUCAGACCAAACACCGAGUGGCUUAAAAGGAAAAUAAAUGAGGGAACUCUGCUGUGUCCUCCAAUGAUUUCUAAAUGAUGAUGAUGGAAACGAUGAAGUAAAGUUGACGUAAAGCAGCAACUGGAACCAUUUCUGCUGUUUUAUUUGUUCAAACUUUUACAGAAAUAUUUGUUAAGAAAUGUUGAUUAUUUUUGUAAAUUGUUCAUAUGACUUGAGUCUUAUAUAUUAUAUUUAUUAAAAAUGUCAUUAAAUAUGAAUGUUUGACCGUUUUUAUUCUGUCUUCAAUCUGAGAAGAAAGAUAAACAAUAAAAGCCUUUAAAAUCAGAUUUAUAAUGGUGUGUGUCAUUAUUUAGUAUUUGCUGUAACAACAUAUUCUCAUGAUGAUGUCACAUUCACAGGACACCGGGAGGCUGUGUUUAACACAGAUGGCAGAAGUAAAAGUAAAUAUUCA